GGUGCAUGUUUUGUUAAAUACAAGAACAUCAAUAAACAAAUGCGGAAAAUCUCUCUUUGGGUGUCACAAUGCUUCACCAAAUUGGGAAGUAGCGGCAGAUGUGCCAGAUCCAAUUCGGCCUCCAAGAAACUGAAGAACGAACUUCCAAUUUGGUAGGUAGUAGUUGCAGAAAGGCGGCCAUGAAUCUCUUCACCAGAAACAGACCCACAACGAGACCAUGGCCUCUCAGAAAACACUACCCCCUCCUCUACCUGACCCUCCUCUUCCCCCGCCUCUUCCUCUCCUACUUCUUCUCUCUCACUUCCGAUUCCCUCUUCCUCAAGACCUCACUUUCUACUUCCAAAAUGCCCCUCCCUCGGAGGAGAGAAGUUCCUCUGGUACGCUCCCCACAGUGGCUUCAGCAACCAGCUUUCCGAGUUUAAGAACGCCCUUCUCAUGCCCGCCAUUCUGAACCGGACCUUGCUCGUCCCUCCGGUUCUCGAUCACCACGCCGUUGCUCUCGGUAGUUGCCCAAAGUUUUGGGUUUUGAGUCCCAUUGAGAUCAGGAUUUCGGUUUGGAAUCACACGGUUGAGCUCAUUCGGAGUGGGAGUGUGAAUUUAGAUUUUGCUUGCUACAAUGAGUUGGCUGCACAUGCCUCUGUGCUUUAUAGACUAAAGCAAUGUGAGUCUCUGCUAUCUGGGAUGGAUGGGGAUGCAAAGUGUUUAUAUGCUGUUAAUGAAGACUGCAGAACUACCGUGUGGACGUACCAAAAUGGUAAUGAGGACGGGGCAUUGGAUUCUUUCCAGCCGAUGAACAACUUAAGAAGAAAAAGAAAAUUUCAUAUGUUAGAAAAUGCCGUGAUGUAUAUAAUGCUUUUGGACCCGGUUCUGAAGCUGAAUCGGCUACUCUGCUGGCAUUUGGGAGCCUUUUCACUGCACCUUACAAAGGUUCGGAGCUACACAUUAGUAUCCAUGAAGCUCCGAGUGAUCGAAGGAUACAAACUCUGAUUGACAAGAUUGGAUUCCUUCCUUUUAAACCGGAAAUCAUAAGUGCAGGAAAGAAGUUUGCUCAUGAUAUUAGAAGGGCUCCUUUUCUUUGUGCACAGGUCAGAUUGCUAGAUGGACAGUUCAAGAACCAUUGGAAGGCUACUUUUUCGAAGCUAAAACAAACUUUGGAUGGUUUGACACAGAGCCCUCUUCCUAUUCCUAUUUUUAUGAUGACUAAUCUUCCUGAAAGUAACUGGACAGGAACUUAUUUGGGGGAAUUGGUUAAAGAUUCGCAUCAGUUUAAACUGUUUUUCCUGAAAGAAAAAGACAAGUUGAUAAUACAAACUGGCAAAAGAAUUGUGGAUGCAAGUCAUGGCAUGAAGUUUGGGACCUUUCUGAAGAAUCAUGAUCGGACUAGUCAGGUUAAGAAGGGUUGCCCUCCAGGAUUACCUGAUGUUCUUCUAUAUAUAGAGAAAAAUAUUUGUAGUUGUGCUUCUCUUGGAUUUGUUGGGACUGCAGGGUCAACUAUUGCAGAAAUUAUAGAGUCGAUGAGGAAGUUUGGUGCAUCUUAUAGCUAAUUUCUUAUUGUGAAAUCCCUCACAACAUGAGAAAUUCUAAUUUAAUCAAGCUUUUCCUUUAUACAAAAGCAAUUAUGGUUCAGAAGCAUGCCGGAAACUGGUCCUUUUCUUCCACCAUGAAUGCUUGAAUUCUGAGCAUGUACCUGAGUCACAACUUAAUGACACCAGCAGGCUGUCUCGACAGUCUAGGCAGGGUGCUGUGGACAGCAAGGGAUUUGUGUUGAACAAGGUGGAAUUCAGAAACAGUUGCAUUCUUGGUGAAGGUAAUACAUAUCUCAUGCUCCGGUUUCUCAUCAAGAUUUGAGAAGCAAUUUUGCAAUCAUCACGUUCACAUCUUUAAUAGUUCAGUUUUGAGUCUUGACUUGAUAAUGUUCUUCUUUGGCUUGUCGAUUGGUGCAUGAUGGUUCUUUGAGUCCAAUUUUUGGUGAUGCCAUUGAUUAUAAAGACUGUUUAGAUGCAUAUUUGAUUCUCUAAUUCAAUUUAAAUUUAUUAUAUGAACCUGCUGUAAUGUAUAAAUUUCUUGUUAACAGUAUUGUAAUCUGUAUAUCAAUUCCAAGGUGCUUAAAAACGGUUCUUCA